AUUGAACGCUGGCGGAAUGCUUUACACAUGCAAGUCGAACGGCAGCACGGGGCAACCUGGUGGCGAGUGGCGAACGGGUGAGUAAUACAUCGGAACGUGCCCAGUCGUGGGGGAUAACGUAGCGAAAGUUACGCUAAUACCGCAUACGAUCUAAGGAUGAAAGCGGGGGAUCGCAAGACCUCGCGCGAUUGGAGCGGCCGAUGUCAGAUUAGGUAGUUGGUGGGGUAAAGGCUCACCAAGCCGACGUUCUGUAGCUGGUCUGAGAGGACGACCAGCCACACGGGGACUGAGACACGGCCCAGACUCCUACGGGAGGCAGCAGUGGGGAAUUUUGGACAAUGGGCGAAAGCCUGAUCCAGCCAUUCCGCGUGCAGGAUGAAGGCCUUCGGGUUGUAAACUGCUUUUGUACGGAACGAAAAGGCUCUGGUUAAUACCUGGGGCUCAUGACGGUACCGUAAGAAUAAGCACCGGCUAACUACGUGCCAGCAGCCGCCGUAA
rnacentral:rRNA from 1 species